UUUAAAUUCACUGAAGAUUGCAAGAGAGGAACAGUUCGCUACAAUGGCGAUAGGAUUCCUGAUUUUGACCGGCUUGCUGGCCUUUGGCACGUACUGGACCACCAGGUACCUGAUCUCGGCGGCGGAUCAUAGCACUACCACGACUACUGUCUCGCCAAACGACGACAGUAUACUACGCUUGAUAUUUAACAAGUCUGGUUGACAUCGGCAUCAGCUGUCCCGCGUCAACUUUCAUACUUAGCGGACUCACGAGGAAGGCAUUUAUCGUUGCAACUUAUUAAUGCUUAAAUACUUAGUCAAAUUGUAUUUAUUAGGUUCUUUUUUCAUUUAAUUUUAAUUUGAACCGGAUGUAUCAGCAAGACGAAGUGCCUGCUUUUUUUGAUGUUUCAUAUUUGCAACAUGAUUCCAGUCCCAGGAGAGCGGCAACUUUAAACACCUUUUCUUGAUUUGACUAUCAGUGUGUUUUGCUCAAACAAGUUACAAAGAAAUCUAACUCUGACUACCUAGGAACAUUUUUGUUUAUCCAAUCCCUUUAUCCAAUGUACCUACAUGUGAUAUAAAUUCUAUCUAAAAUAACUUGAACAAAUUACAUGCUUCAUUAAUCGGAAAAUUAUGCGUGAAGAUAAACGCGACGUGGAACUAUGAAUGUAUUUAGUUUUAAAAUUCUAAUUCGAUUUUUGUAAGUUAGGGUACCAUAAAACCACACCAUUAUAGUCUAUUGCCACAACUAUGGCCCACAAGUUCAAUACGUAAUUAAGUAUCAAAACCAAUGUCCUUUUUCGUAUUUUCCGAGUUAUUUCUCUUAUUUAUGAAAAUGUUUUAUCCUCUGAAAUGCGUCAUUCAAAUAAUAACUAGUCACGCCUAAAUAAAGGUAUCCGAGUUAAUUUUGGCCAUAGUUGGGAGAUUUUAGACUAUAGUUGGGUGGUUUUACGUUAAUAUAGGUAAUAUAAAUAAGUUUAUUGACUUGGUGUGAUUACAUUUACUUUUUGUAUCGUUAUUUUUAUA